GGCGGAAUAGCUCGUUAAAGCGCAAGCGAUAGUACACCAAUUCCUUUGGGGAGCGGUGAUAGUGUACAGAAUAAUCUUCCAGGAAAAGCCGUUGAAACAUCAGGUUCAUGCUGCCCGUACCGUAAACCGACACAGGUGGUCGAGGAGAGUAUCCUCAGGCGCUCGAGUGAUUCGUGGCUAAGGAACUAGGCAAAAUAGUCUCGUAACUUCGGGAGAAGAGACUCCCUCAGCAAUGAGGGACGCAGUGAAGAGGCCCAGGCGACUGUUUAGCAAAAACACAUGGCUUUGCGAAAUCGAGAGAUGAAGUAUAAGGCCUGACACCUGCCCGGUGCCGGAAGGUUAAGAGAGGGGCUUAGGGGUAACUCGAAGGUCUUGAUUGAAGCCCCGGUAAACGGCGGCCGUAACAAUAACGGUCCUAAGGUAGCGAAAUUCCUUGUCGGGUAAGUUCCGACCUGCACGAAUGGUGUAACGAUCUGGGCACUGUCUCAGCCACGAGCUCGGUGAAAUUGAAGUAUCGGUGAAGAUGCCGAUUACCCGCAACGGGACGGAAAGACCCCGUGAACCUUUACUGCAGCUUUGCAUUGGGCUCGAAUAUUCGAUGCGUAGGAUAGGUGGGAGGCUAUGAUCCAGCAGUUCUGGCUGUUGGGGAGUCGACGUUGAAAUACCACCCUUUGCCUAUUUGAGUCCUAAUCCGAUUGAAUCGGAGACAUUGCAUGGCGGGCAGUUUGACUGGGGUGGUCACCUCCAAAAGUGUAACGGAGGUUUGCGAAGGUACCCUCAGUACGGACGGUAACCGUACGCAGAGCGUAUUAGUAUAAGGGUGCUUGACUGAGAGGUCGACGGACCGAUCAGGGCCGAAAGGCGGCUAAAGUAAUCCGGUGGUUCCGCAUGGAAGGGCCAUCGCUCAAAGGAUAAAAGGUACUCCGGGGAUAACAGGCUGAUCUCCCCCAAGAGCUCAUAUCGACGGGGAGGUUUGGCACCUCGAUGUCGGCUCGUCGCAUCCUGGGGCUGGAGAAGGUCCCAAGGGUUGGGCUGUUCGCCCAUUAAAGCGGCACGUGAGCUGGGUUCAGAACGUCGCAAGACAGUUCGGUCCCUAUCUGUUGUGGGCGCGGGAAGGUUGAGGGGACCUGGCACUAGUACGAGAGGACCGUGCUGGACGAACCGCUCGUGUACCUGUUGUGACGCCAGUUGCAGCGCAGGGUAGCGAUGUUCGGCAGGGAUGAGCGCUGAAAGCAUCUAAGCGCGAAGCCCACCUCGAGAUGAACCUUCCGAUUAAGGGUCGCAGGAGACUACUGCGUUGAUAGGUGGUAGGUGUGAGCAUGGUGACAUGUUAGCCGAGCCAUACUAAUUGCCCGUAAGCUUCCUUUG
rnacentral:rRNA from 1 species